rnacentral:rRNA from 1 species
CAGCCGCCACGGUAAUACGUAGGGGGCAAGCGUUGUCCGGAAUUAUUGGGCGUAAAGCGCGCGCAGGCGGUCAUGUAAGUCUGGUGUUUAAUCCCGGGGCUCAACCCCGGAUCGCACUGGAAACUGGGUGACUUGAGUGCAGAAGAGGAGAGUGGAAUUCCACGUGUAGCGGUGAAAUGCGUAGAGAUGUGGAGGAACACCAGUGGCGAAGGCGACUCUCUGGGCUGUAACUGACGCUGAGGCGCGAAAGCGUGGGGAGCAAACAGGAUUAGAUACCCCCGUAGUCCCUGUCUCUUAUACA